GACGAACGCUGGCGGCGCGCCUAACACAUGCAAGUCGAACGGAGUUAUUUUCUUCACUCCGAGCUUUUUGCCAGUUAGCCGGAGCGGCAAUCGGUUUUGCCCAGCAUAAAAAGCAAAACCGAUUUAGGCUCAUAAAGUAAGACUAACACAGAGGGCAGAGAGUUGGGAGUGAAGAAAAUAACUUAGUGGCGAACGGGUGAGUAACGCGUGAGUAACCUGCCCUGGAGUGGGGGACAACAGUUGGAAACGACUGCUAAUACCGCAUAAGCCCACGAUCCGGCAUCGGAUUGAGGGAAAAGGAUUUAUUCGCUUCAGGAUGGACUCGCGUCCAAUUAGCUAGUUGGUGAGGUAACGGCCCACCAAGGCGACGAUUGGUAGCCGGACUGAGAGGUUGAACGGCCACAUUGGGACUGAGACACGGCCCAGACUCCUACGGGAGGCAGCAGUGGGGGAUAUUGCACAAUGGGGGAAACCCUGAUGCAGCGACGCCGCGUGGAGGAAGAAGGUUUUCGGAUUGUAAACUCCUGUCGUUAGGGACGAUAAUGACGGUACCUAACAAGAAAGCACCGGCUAACUACGUGCCAGCAGCCGCGGUAAAACGUAGGGUGCAAGCGUUGUCCGGAAUUACUGGGUGUAAAGGGAGCGCAGGCGGACCGGCAAGUUGGAAGUGAAAACUAUGGGCUCAACCCAUAAAUUGCUUUCAAAACUGCUGGCCUUGAGUAGUGCAGAGGUAGGUGGAAUUCCCGGUGUAGCGGUGGAAUGCGUAGAUAUCGGGAGGAACACCAGUGGCGAAGGCGACCUACUGGGCACCAACUGACGCUGAGGCUCGAAAGCAUGGGUAGCAAACAGGAUUAGAUACCCUGGUAGUCCAUGCCGUAAACGAUGAUUUACUAGGUGUUGGAGGAUUGACCCCUUCAGUGCCGCAGUUAACACAAUAAGUAAUCCACCUGGGGAGUACGACCGCAAGGUUGAAACUCAAAGGAAUUGACGGGGGCCCGCACAAGCAGUGGAGUAUGUGGUUUAAUUUGAAGCAACGCGAAGAACCUUACCAGGUCUUGACAUCCGAUGCAUAGCGCAGAGAUGCGUGAAGUCCUUCGGGACAUCGAGACAGGUGGUGCAUGGUUGUCGUCAGCUCGUGUCGUGAGAUGUUGGGUUAAGUCCCGCAACGAGCGCAACCCUUAUUGCCAGUUACUACGAAAGAGGACUCUGGCGAGACUGCCGUUGACAAAACGGAGGAAGGUGGGGAGGACGUCAAAUCAUCAUGCCCUUUAUGACCUGGGCUACACACGUACUACAAUGGCGUUUAACAAAGAGAAGCAAGACCGCGAGGUGGAGCAAAACUCAAAAACAACGUCUCAGUUCAGAUUGCAGGCUGCAACUCGCCUGCAUGAAGUCGGAAUUGCUAGUAAUCGCGGAUCAGCAUGCCGCGGUGAAUAAAAUCCCGGGCCUUGCACA
rnacentral:rRNA from 1 species